UUUUUUUAUUUUUUGAAGUCUGGAAGUCUGGAAAGAUGGAAUCGUCCCCAAAACAAUUCUUUGUCCAUGACAUUUGACUAAAGCCAAUAGCAUCAUUGUUAUGAAUAUAUUUUUAAGAGAAUAAUCUAGUUUGAAACCACCAUAUUAAACCUCACUAUGGUUGUUUCAAAAUGGACAGUUUCCCUCAUUUGAACAAUUACUGAUCAAUGAAUUGGCCGUGCCCAUGGGCACAAAGGGGCUUACAAUGAAUCAUGUAACCAUCCAAUCAAAACUAGUGGUGAUAACAGUUUUCUUUUGAGCCAUCACCAUAUUAACCUCAAAAUCAAUGUUUCAUUCCAGAUUUGUCCAAAUUUUGGUGUUUACUGACCACCAUACUAUCCAGUCAGACAAUGAUUUGGAUUCACCAAAGCCAUAUCAUAUUGGAAGGUGUGCCUAUUUAUUUUAGUAUUAUGAGAAUAACAUAUAGAAAAUAUAGAAGAUAAUAUCAUUUAAAAAAAGAAAAGCAUACAUCAAAUGUCAUGGCAAUGUAGAUAUUGAGAGUUAGGAAUAUGCUUCCUCAGACUCACCAACCUUGGAAACAUAACCCUUGCAUGGAGAUAUUGAGGGCCUGGAAACAGGAACAUAAGUCCUACAAACACAUAAUUAUCUGUUUUGCCAAAGCCAACACUAUCAAUGAAACUAAUUUAAUUUUAAGGUAAAUGUUCCACUGUUGAAAAAACGAUUCAACAUCUAGCUAAUGGCUGCUUCAAACUGGAUCAUUUUCCUAAUUAAAAUAUUUACCAACCUGUGUAUUAGGUUUAAUGAAUCUUAUCACUACCCAACCAGAUCAGAUGGUGACAAGAUUCACCCAUAUGCUAGAUGGUGACAAGCUUCUUGAACCAAUUCUCUGUUGACAGUCAUCGGUAUGCUACUAAAGCAAUUUGAAGUUAGUUGAUCUUCUUAAAUUGGAUUGCCUUUUAUUUAACCAGCAUCACCAAACUUCAAUCUUUCAAAAAAAAAAAAAAAAAAGAUGACAAAGGUCUGAACAGUUUCACAUUUAAUAUUUAUCCUUCUGUUUCUCGUCUGACUUAUAUCAUGUUUUCAAUGCCUUGCUUAAAAAAUGCAGUUGUGUAGGGCCUAUUCAUGUCACUCUCAUUCGCUUGAAAGAUUUAUGUUGUAGGAAACUAAAACAUGGAACUCAAGAUAAACAUUGUGCUUGCCAGUAUGUGAGUAAUAUCCACUAUGAGAAGUUAUCAUGUUGGCCCAAGAGUUUGGGAAACGGAGAUGCCAUUCCAAUGGAAUGUGUUUGCCAUCUCUAGACUUUCUAGUUUUUUGUUUUUCAUAGUUUUUUAUGUUGGUUGGGUUUUAUUUUUUAAAUAUAGUUGAGGCCUACUUUCCAUCCAAAAGGGUUGUUUGAUGAAAGCAAGAUAGCAUCUUCAAAGGAAUCUAAAGCCAUAACACAACUGUGGUAUUUGAAUGGAAGAUGUCCCGAAGGCACCAUUCCCAUCAGAAGAACAAAGAGAGGAUAUUCUAAGAGCAAGCUCAGUGAAAAGAUAUGAGAGAUGCUUAUCAAGCCCCAAGCUGCUACAACCUCCUAUGCUCAGGUUUCAUUCAAGUAAACAGUGAAAUAGCAAUGGGGCCAACAUCUUCCCAGUCUCAGGCUAUCAUGGUUCCCAAUAUGAUAACAGUAUACUUGUCUGGAAGGUAAAAUGGUAAUAAUGGUAAUUGGGGCAGCUUCUUUUAUUAUGGUGGGCCUGGUAAAAUUUCCAAAUGCCUUAGGAAUAUCCUAAUUCCCCUCUCUUUUCUCACUCUCUCUGUACCAUUCCAUGUAAUCCUAAGGGUUAUUUUUGCUCCCCUUUCUUCACUCCCUUUAGUAACAUGUGCAUGUACUCCAUUUCUCCUUUUUAGAGGUUUUGAGUACUCAUUUUUCUUUCUUUUUUCCUUUUUUUAUUAUAAAAAAAUAAUUUACUUUCUACUCUCUACAUAAGAGGUUGGAGAGAAGUCAAGUUUCUAUAGGCAAGAGAAACAGGCUCGUCUUCUAUAUAUGUAAUUUGUUUGCCUUCUCCCUUCUUGGGUCGAUUUGUUUAGUUAUUAAUGGAUGGGUGGAAUUUUGGUGUUG